rnacentral:snRNA from 1 species
GUGCUUGCUUUGGCAGCACAUAUACUAAAAUUGGAAUGCUACAGAUAAGAGCAUGGCCCUGCGCAAGAUUGACACACAAAUUUAUGAAGCAUUCCAUAUUUUU